rnacentral:rRNA from 1 species
GAUAAACGCUGGCGGCGUGCCUAAUACAUGCAAGUCGAACGAGGAGUCCUUGUAGUAAUACUUGGACUUCCUAGUGGCGAAUGGGUGAGUAACGCGUUGGUGACCUGCCCCAAAGAGAGGAAUAACUCCGGGAAACUGGAGCUAAUACCUCAUGUGGUUUCCAGGGUUAGAGGCCUGGUAACUGAAGGAGCAAUCCACUUUGGGAGGGACCUGCGUCCCAUCAGCUAGUUGGUAGGGUAACGGCCUACCAAGGCGACGACGGGUAGGGGGCCUGAGAGGGUGGCCCCCCACACUGGCACUGAAACACGGGCCAGACACCUACGGGAGGCUG